ACGCGAAUGUAGAAGAUAACGCCUAUAUUUUAAAGAAUAAAAAUGUCCUGGACAAGAAAUGCGUGCAGUUGAACGACUUUAUCUUUUGAAGUAGAAAUCAGUGGAUGUGGUGGAUUCACGAAUAGAAGGAGACAUUGAAGAACCAGUUCUCUCAUGUAGUCUUUUAGAGGGGUCAUCGUUAUUCAAGAUUGAAUUGGCACGAGAUGACUGGAGAUUAAUUUUGUCACUAAGGAAGGCCAAGACUCAUAAGACAAGAUUAAUCCUUGUGGCAUUGUUCUGUGGCUGAAUCCAUUCAACGGAACAACAUAUU
rnacentral:lncRNA from 1 species